ACGCGAUAAAGGCUAACCAUCCGAAAGGGUGGGCGCAAAGCCAUGGGUCUAAAGCCCUUAAAUGGGUAUGACUGCCAGGCUGCCGUU
rnacentral:ncRNA from 1 species